rnacentral:misc_RNA from 1 species
GAUGAAGAACGUAGCGAAAUGCGAUAAGUAGUGUGAAUUGCAGAAUUCAGUGAAUCAUCGAAUCUUUGAACGCACAUUGCGCCCCUUGGUAUCCCGAGGGGCAUGCCUGUUCGAGCGUCAUUUCACCACUCAAGCCUGGCUUGGUGUUGGGCGACGUCCUCUUUGGGGACGCGCCUCGAAACGCUCGGCGGCGUGGCACCGGCUUUAAGCGUAGCAGAAUCUUUCGCUUUGGAAGUCGGGGCCCCGUCUGCCGGAAGACCUGCUCGCAAGGUUGACCUCGGAUCAGGCAGGGAUACCCGCUGAACUUAAGCAUAUCAAUAAGCGGAGGU